UACGUAGGGGGCAAGCGUUGUCCGGAUUUAUUGGGCGUAAAGAGCUCGUAGGUGGUUCGGUAAGUCGGAUGUGAAAUCUCCAGGCUCAACCUGGAGGGGUCAUUCGAUACUGCCGUGACUAGAGGUCGGUAGGGGAGUGUGGAAUUCCUGGUGGAGCGGUGAAAUGCGCAGAUAUCAGGAGGAAUACCUAUGGCGAAAGCAGGUAUCUGGGCCAUCACUGACGCUGAGCUGCGAAAGCUAGGGGAGCAAACAGG
rnacentral:rRNA from 1 species